CGAGUUUGCUUGACGAUCGCGGGCAACAGUCCGAAAGGCGUUGUCUGAGGAAAGUCCGAGCUGCGUAGAGCAGGGUGCUGGAUAACGUCCAGUGGGGGCAACCCUAAGGAAAGUGCCACAGAAAACAAACCGCCUUCCGUGAGGAAGGUAAGGAUGAAACGGUGCGGUAAGAGCGCACCAGAGGCCAGGUGACUGGUCUGCUUGGUAAACCCCACCCGCAGCAAGACCGAAUAGGGGAAGGAUGAGGUUGCUCGCUGACUUCUCGGGUAGGUCGCUUGAGGUGUUUGGCAACGAACAUCCCAGAUAAAUGAUCGUCCACGACAGAACUCGGCUUAUGGCAAACUCGUGGU
rnacentral:RNase_P_RNA from 1 species